GCGCCCGUAGCUCAGUGGAUCAGAGCAGCUGACUUCGGAUCAGCAGGUCGGGAGUUCGAAUCUCUCCGGGCGCGCCA
rnacentral:tRNA from 1 species